GCGCAGCAGUCGAGAAACCUCCGCAAUACACGAAAGUGUGACGGGGCCAUCCCGAGUGCCGUCCGCUGAGGACGGCUUUUCCCCAGUGUACACAGCUGGGGGAAUAAGGAGAGGGCAAGCCUGGUGUCAGCCGCCGCGGUAAUACCAGCUCUCCGAGUGGUGGGGACGCUUAUUGGGCCUAAAACAUCCGUAGCCGGCUGGGCAAGUCCUCCGUUAAAUCCAACGAUUCAAUCGUUGGGCUGCGGGGGAUACUGUCCAGCUUGGGGCGGGAGAGGCCGACGGUAUUCCCGGGGUAGGGGUGAAAGUCCUAUAAUCCCGGGAGGACCACCAGUGGCGAAGGCUGUCGGCUAGAACGCGCCCGACGGUGAGGGAUGAAAGCUGGGGGAGCGAACCGGAUUAGAUA
rnacentral:rRNA from 1 species